rnacentral:lncRNA from 1 species
UCUCACCGUUCUGAAGGCUGGAAUCCAAAAUCAAGGUGCUGGCAGGGCUGGUGUCUCCUGAGGCCUCUCUUCUCAGCUUGUAGACAGGUGCCUUCUUUCUCUGUCCCCAGGUGGCCUUUCCUUUCUGUGUGAGCAUUGCUAGGGUCUCUGCCUCUUCUCGUAAGAAAGCUAGUUCUGUGAGACAAGAGCCCCAUACUUACGAUCUCAUUUAACCUUAUUUACCUUAUUAAAAGACCCCAUCUCCAAACAAACGUUAAGGUUUCAACAUAUAAAUUGUGAGGGAACAAUUCGGCACAUAACACACAGAUGUAUGUAUGUGGGGAACAGGAAGAAAGGAAGGUUAGCUAGAAUAUUGGUCAGGGAAGUUUGAAAAGUAAGUUGAAAGCUAGUCUUUUGAAUGUUACGUUUGAAGGGUUUUGUGUGUGUGUGCGGGUAAUGGAAAGGUUUGAAAGGUUUGCCCACAGUGCAUAAUUAUGAGUUUUAGAAAUGAAAACAAUGGCAGGAGAGAUGAGGUAUUAAUGCAGAAAGGAGCUGAAGUAUCAGAAGGUGUAAGAGGGCCUGAAUUAAAGUGGUGGGGCUGGAAGGCAGGUGAAGUGGCUAAGUUAAUCGACAUUUGAGAAGGAGGGGAGAGGAGCAAAGGAACUGUGGUGGGGCGUGAGUGUGCUCCUGAAGCAGGGACGUUGUUGUGUGUGCUGGCGUCGGGGCUGGGAGCGUGCCCGGAGCUGCAGCCUUGGACACCAUAAGCCCAGAAGUGAGUGAAGGACACACAGGGUAGGCUGAGAGCACACCUUUCAGGAACACCCACCUUUAAAGGAUAGAUGAAGAAAGGAUUGCCAUACGAGGAGACAAGAAAGUGAUGUUCUGAGGAAAACGAAGUCUGAGAAAGUGUGUCACAGAAACCAAAAAAGAGAAAGUACCAAGGAAAGAAGAGGAUUCGCAGGGUUAAACAUUCCCAACGUGUCAGACAGAAUGCUCUGAAAAUGGAAGCCUUGAGUUAAUAGUUGGGGGUGCACAGGUGGCCAUGCUGGAGCUGUUUCUUCAGAGAAGGACGAGCGGAGGCCACGCUGUUGUGAGUUGAAAUUAAACGUAAAGUCUUAACCUUGCCUUUGAAAGAUCAACUCAUCUGACUAACUCUUCUGAGGAGGCUGAAAAUAAAAAGACAGUGCUGAAGUUAAUAUUACUUUUAGGACAAGGAAAAUCAUGAGUGGUAUACAGACAGUGGUGUAUGGGUCUACCAGGUGCCUAACCUUCCCUGUAACUAUGCCCAGGGGAGCCUAUUCCAGUCACUAAUGCUGCUAACGAGUCACUCUAAAAUGUGGUGAGUAAAGCAACAGUGACUGUAUUGUGUCUCAUAGCAUCUGCGCUUUGAAGACGGAAGAGCUCCUCUGGCUUGUGGUUUCUCAAUGAAUUGCCCACAGGUGGUGGCUGAAGCUGAGACCACAGGAAAGGAAUGGCUACGUCCUGGCCAGGCACCCAGGCACCUCUAUCUGAUCUCUCUGCAUGGAUUAGUUAGGGCUUCCUCCCCAGCUAAUGGGGAAGGUGCUUGAAGGCAGAAAUCUGUUUCCAUGAAAACCGAGCUCUUCAAAAGCAAGUAUCCCCGUGGUCAUCACCUUUCUGGACCCAGCCCAGGGAAGCACACAAGUUACUUCUGCUGCACUGUCCAGGUUACAGGGCCUGUCUAUGUGGGUGUCAUAGACCCAGGCCAUCCUGUUGUCGAGGCCAGGGGAAAGCUUCCCCUUUAUGCUCUGCAGGUUUGCUGAAAAAUCAACUCACGAAGGAGACUAAUAGGAGAAAAGACAGGCAAAUUUAUUUGAUCUUAGUGGAGUCUUCAGACUGCGGACCCAGAGAUGCAGGGGAAAUUGUCCAUUUUUAUGCUUAGGUUCAACAACGUAUGGACAGCUGUGUGGAAAUAGGAUUAAACAAAAAGGGUGUGAUCUAGUGCUGAGACACUGGGUGGACUGAGACACUGAGUGGGGGCACCCAGCAAGGCCUGACAUGCAGAUUCUUCCUGGCCUCUCUGGGCAUCAUCCCUCCCCUCUGGUGUGGGGCAGGGCCCUCUCUGCAAUGGGGUCUCAUGACCUGCAGUCAAAGUCGGUCGGAGAGUGUCUUUAUUGCCAGUUUUGCAUGGAAUUGAGGGGGCAAAGCUGGAAUAAUAUUUUAGGUUUUAUGGCUGGCAUAGGGCAAAAGGGAUUCUGGUUUCUAUAACCUGCUUUGUGGAAGAGGGAUUCCAGUUUCUAUGGCUGGCCUCAGGGGAGAAUGAGACUGAGAUAGGUGGGCAGGAGACAGGGAAAAACAUUUGUUUCUGAGGACUUCAUUUUGGGUUAUUGUUUUCUGAGUCCCAAUACUAUAUACUACUUUAUCUUACAAAUGUACUACAAUUUUUUAUAUUGUCCUCUUAUUGAUAAAAUAUAGGUUCUUCAUACUGUUCACAAAGAUGGUUUAUUGUUAUUUAUGCUGAAAGUUUCUGUCUUAAAAUAAGACUGACUUAUUUUCUUUUUUAUUAAUAUUGUAAAAUAAUAUAGUUUCUAUGACCUGGUUUUGUGGGUUCUAAUUUUUCAUAUUUUUACUUUGUUUUCUAUUUCUCCUUCCUCUGCCCACUGUUGUAUAGAUUGCAUUUCCUUAAUUCUUAAUUCCCAUACUGGCUUUCUCCGGUUUGAAAUUAAAGCAGUAUACUUUUAUAUUUACCCUGAAAUGGUCAACAUGCAUGCUUAUCUUUGGAAAGACUAAAGUGGCUCAGUAUCUUUGUCAUCUUCCCAAACAAUACAAUUCUAUACUCUUCUCAUCUUCCAUAUUUUUGAGAUGUAGAAUUUAAUAUUCAUUUUUCUAAAAGUUUCACCAAAAUUGUCUUAAGGUUUCUUUUCAAUUCCAAUCAAUACCAAUCUAAAUGUAACAAGUUUUACCAACUUCUAUGUAUACAAUUACUUUCUAUCUAUUUCUUCUUCUGGGUUUUUCAUUGUUGAAGCACAUCUUUGGGGAGAAUUUUCAGCAAGCCUCUGUGAGCGGUAAACUCAGUCUUUCAUGUCUGAAAUUGCCUUUGUUUUUCCUUACAAUGAUUGCAUUGCCACCUGACAUUUACCAAUGCCAGAGACAAAUCUGUUGUCUUGUUCCUUUGCAAGUAACCUGCAGUGUUCCUCUGUUUUGGAUGGUUCAACUCUGUACCGCAGUGUGUCUAAGUGGGAAUUUGCUUUUAUUCGUGCUGCUUGAAACUUAAUAUAAAUCUUCAGUCUGAGCACUCACAUCUUUCUUUAAUUCUAGAAAACUCUCAUCAAAUUUAUUUAGAAGAUUGCAUCUUAACCAUUGUCUCAAUUCCCUGCUUUGAACUUCGAAUAGAUAAUGGCUGGAGCCUUGGCUUCUCUCCUCCACUUUUCAAAUUCUCUUUCAUAUUUUCUAUCUCUUUUCCUCACUGGUCUCUAUAUUCAGUCAUUUCCUCUUGUCUAUAUCUCAGUUAACUAAGUCCACUAAUUUACUAAGCCCACUAAUACUUUAUUCAAUUUAUAUAAUGUGUAAAAUAUCUGAUUUUUUAAAACACGAAAUUGUAUUUUUAAGAAAAUCUUGUUAUUAUUUUAUAUUUUUUCCUUUCUCUUUGAUAUUUCAAAUCUCUUCAGAAGUUCACUUUUGGAAUAUAGGCCUCCUGUUUUUAUGCUGACGACCUCUCGUUAGGAAUUCUCUCCCAUCCAUAUCGUGUGAAAUUGGACUCUAUCAUUCUUGGCAUGUGCUUGGAAUCCCAGUUCUGUGUGGAUCCUGUUGUGUCUUUUGAACAAUGCGCAGUUUUUCUAGUUUCCACUUCACAGAGGAAGUACAAGGGUUCAAACAUUUGCCCUUUUACCAACUCUCAGGGUGGUUCUGGGCAAAUUACUGAAAUUCUCUAAUUCUGAUUUCUAAUUCUCAUUUCUGGUUAAUUCUCUAAAGGCUUCUCUGCUUGGUCAUGCUUUCCUUUGUAAUUUGUCUCCCUCUUUCUUUCUUUUUCCAAAGAAACCACAUAAACCACUCAAAAAUGGGAUUGCUCCACCUAUCCUCAUUUCUUUUCUACUCAUUACUACAUUAACUGUGAGUAAAUUGAGUUCUUUCAUUAAAUAUAUCUAAGUCUAGGAAAUUGCAACAUUGAGACUCGUUUUCCCAUUUGAAACACUUGGACGUGGCUUCAGUGGUCUUCAUUGGCCUUUGUGAAGCUGGUUGAAAAUGAUGUUUGGGGAAGUCUUGGCAGCUAAGUGCCUUGGUGGUUCCUGACAGGUCUCUGUGACUUUACCAUCGCGCACCCAACAGGAAACCUGAAUAAGAGCUGCAGAUGAGCAAAGUCCAACAGCGGGUCUUAGCUGAGAACCUGCUUAAAGCCUCCCAGUGAAAACCGGAAGAAGCCUUUGGGUUGAUGUGGAGUCACUUCCAUAGAGCUAGAGAUGAAACCUAAAUGGCUCAGCCCUGGCUUUAGGUUUGGCCUAGAUGGUUUGAACCUAUUCUAAAAUAUUAACCUGACCUCAGGAUUUCACUGUCACAUCUAGCUUUACACUCAGAAAAACUGAGGUCAGGUUAAUAUUUAAGAAAUAGAUGUGUCAGUUUCCUUAUCUUAUUCUUAGAUACAAACAAUAGAAUAGUAUUUCAUCCUUUAAUUGAAGUAUUUUAGUUAUUUAUAUAUUCUAAGUGGAUGACUAAUAAUUCCAUUUAUUGGUCUCAUGGCUAGAAGAUUUAUACCACCUAUUUUGGCAUAUAAUGUGUACAAUUUCCCUGACAUGGAUAAUAUAUGGAAGAUUGUAGAAAGCAAUAAGAAUGCAAUGCAAUAAAUAUUAAAAUGCUGUAUCAUUCUAUUAGUAUAUUAAAGUAAUAUAAUUACUUGAUGUGUUUCUUUCCAAGUAUCAUUGUAACUUGCUUUAGAAUAUACCUUAAAUAUGUUAUAUAUUUUUAUAUAACAUAGCAAUUUAUGACUCAAUACUCUAAGAAUUAUGAAUUGCAUCAAUAGGCAUUUGAAUCUACUCAUCUUGUUUAUUGCUCAUUUGUGUAUUACUCUGGGAAUUGUGGCACAUUUUAGUCCUAUUAUGUGUGGAAACAAAUCAUAGUUUUGAACAUGUAAAGGUGUAAAGCCAGCUCAACAAGAAAGUUGCUAUCAAGAAACAUAUUCUUUUCACAGUUUGAAUGGGUAGCACCAAAGAACUAGCUGGCAAAAUAAAACAAAAAAAUGUAGAAAUAAUCCCAUGUAGCAAACAAGCAGCAAGAACACUUAGCCGGAAAGAAUAUAACCAAACGUUGAUUUUUAUGUUCUACAAAACUAAAAAGGUUACUUUCAACAUAUUUUCCCACAGCAUGAAAAAAUUACUCUUUUUCUUUCAUUAUUUAUAACUAACUACCCUUUAGAAACUUGAAACUGGUUUUUUGAGGGUCAUUCAAGAACUGCAAGAAUACAAAUGAAUUACUUUGCCCUUUAAAAGAAAGAGAUUUGUAAAACAUAUUGUGGCAUUGUUUGGAAUCAUUGGAGAAAUCAAAUACAUGAUGCAUAUAGAUACAAAAAUGGAAAAAGUUUGUUAAAUAUUUCCCUUAAAAAUACCUAGAUGAAACGAAUCUACCUUUGUGUUUGACCUGUUAACACAAUCAUAUGUAAGCCGUAAGAGAAAUAGUUUCUCUUAAAAUAAAAUACAAAAAGUUCCUCUGAUGCUAUAGUAUUUUAAUAAACAUUUCCCUAUUUCCUAUGAAACAGUUUGCAGCAAAUGCCUGAAAAUAACGUAUUUCCUUAUUAAACAAAUAAAGCCAUAAACAACUUGAGUGCAACAUCUACACUGUUGUACAGAAGGGGUGGAAUACGUGUGGAUGAAGAUAAUUUGCAAACCACAGCCCUGUGUUACUAAUGGCUGGCACAACUGGGAGCUGAAGGAUUUCAAAUGCCUCACACAGCUUCAAGUUAACUUCAGGCUGAUCAGCUAGCCCUGUGAUUAAUUAUCGGAGGAAAGUAUUGGUAGAGGUUUAAAAUGUACACGUCUUCAUGUUGAAAGAUAUACUCAAUGUUAAGAAUGUUUAAAAUGUACAAUACAUAGAGAUAUUUGGGAAAAAAGCUGUCUCACUGUUACUUUAAUGCAGUAACAAAAGACACUGUCAUACAAAGCAAAGAGGAGUGUCAAUAUUGUGCACGUAUGUCCAGCUUCUUUUUUAGAAUUCUGCAUUUGGUGUUGCAUAUAACGGCAAUGCUAUUAGGAAGGAAGCUUUUUCCAAACUGUUUCUGGAUCUGUCUCACAGUUUGAAUUCUCA